ACCAAGGAGUCUAACAUGUGCGCGAGCCGCGGGGCAGUACGAAACCCGUAAGGCGAAAUGAAGGUGAACGCCGGCGCGGUCCGGCGGAGGUUGGAUCCCGUCCCGUCGGGGCGGGCGCACUACCGGCCGAUCUUCUCCGCCCUGUCGGCGAGGUCGAGCGAGAGCGUGCAAGUCGGGACCCGAAAGAUGGUGAACUAUGCCUGAGGAGGUUGAAGCCAGAGGAAACUCUGGUGGAGGACCGUAGCGAUUCUGACGUGCAAAUCGAUCGUCAAAUUUGGGUAUAGGGGCGAAAGACUAAUCGAACCGUCUAGUAGCUGGUUCCCUUCGAAGUUUCCCUCAGGAUAGCUGGCGCUCUGUCGCAGUUUUAUCUGGUAAAGCGAAUGAUUAGAGGUCUUGGGGGCGAAACGCCCUCAACCUAUUCUCAAACUUUAAAUUGGUAAGAAGCCCGACUCGCUCGUUUGGAGCCGGGCAUGGAAUGCGAGUGCCAAGUGGGCCACUCUUGGUAAGCAC
rnacentral:ncRNA from 1 species